GAUGAACGCUGGCGGCGUGCCUAAUACAUGCAAGUCGAGCGAAGCGUGUACUGGUGAGUGACACGUGGAUAACCUCCUAUAUGACUGGGAUAACUUCGGGAAACCGGAGCUAAACCGGCUACUUAUAGCUGAUUCCGCGCUGCAUUAGCUAGUUGUGAGGGUAACGGCUUACAAAGGCAACGAUGCAUAGCCGACCGGAGAGGAUGAUCGGCCACACUGGAACUGAGACACGGUCCAGACUCCUACGGGAGGCAGCAUUAGGGAAUCUUACGCAAUGGGCGAAAGCUUGACGGAGCAACGCCGCGUGAGUGAUGAAGGUCUUCGGAUCGUAAAACUCUGUUAUUAGGGAAGCGUUACCUAAUCAGAAAGCCACGGCUAACUACGUGCCAGCAGCCGCGGUAAUUC
rnacentral:rRNA from 1 species